GAUGGAAGAACGUAGCGAAAUGCGAUAAGUAAUGUGAAUUGCAGAAUUCAGUGAAUCAUCGAAUCUUUGAACGCACAUUGCGCCCGCCAGUAUUCUGGCGGGCAUGCCUGUUCGAGCGUCAUUACAACCCUCAGGCCCCCGGGCCUGGCGUUGGGGAUCGGCGGAGCCCCCCGUGGGCACACGCCGUCCCCCAAAUGCAGUGGCGGUCCCGCCGCAGCUUCCAUCGCGUAGUAGCUAACACCUCGCGACUGGAGAGCGGCGCGGCAACGCCGUAAAACACCCAACUCUUCUGAAGUUGACCUCGAAUCAGGUAGGAAUACCCGCUGAACUUAAGCAUAUCAAUAAGCGGAGGA
rnacentral:misc_RNA from 1 species